UAAAGUUGCGGCAUCUUGGUGGCUCACUAGAUAGCAUAUAUGUUAUUUGAGAAAUCGUGUUUCAUAACGAUGUGAAGAUGAUUAUUUCAAAAAGAAAAACCCUGUGAGGAUGAUAAUGCUUUUUCAUUGUCUUUCUAUUUAAUUUUAAGAGUUUUUUAUGUUAAGCUUAGUUGGUUUGGUUUGUGAUAUCAUCUUUGGCUGACUUUUGGUUGGUUGAUUGUAUGUUAUUAGUUUGACUUCUUCUAAGUUUUACUCUGAAACAUUGCUAUUUAUUUAUAGGGCACGCAAACUUUGACUGUGAUUAUCCCCUAGAUUAUUAUUUUUUGUUUAAAAAUGAGUAAACUAGAUUGGAAGAAAAAACAAAAAAGAAUAUGAGUUAGAACUUUGUACAAAUCUUGUUAGUUCAUUGGUAGAUCUUGUCUUACUUUGUUAACUAAAUGGUUCUUAUAUUUGCGCAUUAACUAUUCAAAAGUAAGUGAGGAGUUUCUUUCUAUUUUUCACUCUGUUCAUGGAAAGCUGCUUGCAAUAGCCCUUAAACCCUCAGCCUUUGAGUGAAGUGGAGGACAUGAACCAACUCCACUAGAGUUGGUUUGUAAUAGAUAAGUGAGAAGUUCCGAGUUACAUCAGAUCAGUAUAACUGAUGAGCAAAUAAUGAAUAUGUGUUGAUACCAUCUCUUACAAUUAAAUUUUGUUAAUUGGUUUCCAUGAUUUUUUCUGUGAUGGAUCAGUGUCAUCUGUUAAUCACUUGUGUAUAAUCCAAAAUUUUAACUUUGAAUGGGACAGGGAUUUCGGUAUGUUGCAUCUGGUCCAAUGGUCAGGUCAUCAUACAAGGCAGGCGAAUUCUACAUCAAGUCCAUGAUAGAAUCAGAUCGGGCUGCAUCUUCUUCAUAGCGAUAAUCUGCCAACAACAAUCUCAAUGAGCUCAGCUCAUGUUUGCCGUUAACGAUUAAAUUUAGAAGAGAAUGAAAAUUUCAACUUUAGGGAUCAACCACGUCAGCCUGUUGCACUUUGGAACCAAUUGUAUUGUUCAAUUUGUAGCUGGUUCCAUUGUAUAUCUGUAAUUACUAUUUUUUGUUUGCUGGUGUUACAUUUGAAUCUUCAAAAUUAUUUUGCAACAUUUCAGAGGCAUGAUCUAUGCAUGUUUACCGCAGUUUUUUCCAGAAUAAGAUGUGUGUGCAGUUUAACUGGUACAAACUGUCGGAUGCUGCCAUAAUCUAAUUGGUACGGUAAA